GUGCUUGCUUCAGCAGCACAUAUACUAAAAUUGGAAUAAUACAGAGAAGAUUAGCAUGGUCCCUGCUCAAGGAUGACACGCAAAUUCGUGAAACAUUUCAUAUUUUU
rnacentral:snRNA from 1 species